rnacentral:lncRNA from 1 species
GCCGCCGUCAGGCGCGCGCGGGGAGGGGUUGAAGGGGUGGGGCCUUGUGUUCAUGUGAUCUCGGGCUGGGCGCCUUGCAGAGCCAGCCUUUCUGUUUCCCUUUAAUUAGCUGCACCCACUUACGCGCCCAAGGGCUGCUUCCGGGAGCCCUGGAGGCUGGGGCCCGGAGAGAAGAACUCAGAUGCAGCACUUUGGGUUCCCCAACCGCUCCCGCCGCGGUUACGUGCGGGUCGCCGGCUGUCAUCGUUCGCUCUCCUAGUUUCGAGGCCAUUGGCUUGAAUGUUAUUCAAAGAGCGAGCGCGAGUUGGGCAAGUUUUUGUGGGAGGGUUACACCAGGCCCACAAAGGAGAAGAAGAGGAAAGAAGAGCAAGGGGAAGCGGCUCCUUGCAUGGUAAGCAAUUUUGCAGUGUGAUCGUUUUCCCUUUUUUGAGCUAAUACAGAGACUGGUAAUAGGAAAAAUUCCCUUAAGCAAUGAGUUGAGGUAAUCUGCUUUUCUGGUUAAACCAUAAGAAGCACAUCAAAUUUGCCAGUUGUUUUCUUUCCCAGAGAGAGCAUGAAGUUUGGGUGUGGGAACUUGGGGAGAACCCAGUUAACAGAUCAGAGCCUUACCCUUUUAUAUCUGUAAAGUGGGAGUAUUUAGACAUAAAGUUGUGGCCUGAGGAUUAAAUUAUAGAACAAGUGGGGAGUUCCUGUAGUGGCUCAGCAGAAACAAAUCUGACUAGUAUCCAUGAGGAUGCAAGUCAGGUUCGAUCUCUGGUCUUGCUCAGUGGGUUAAGGAUCCAGCAUUGCUGUGAGCUAUGGUGUAGGUCCCAGACAUGGCUCCGAUCUGGCAUGGCUGUGGCUGUGGCGCAGGCCAGCCACUACAACUCCAGUUUGACCCCUGGCCUGGAAACCUCCAUAUGCUGUGAGUGUGGCCCUAAAAAGACAAAAAAAUUAUGAAAAGAAAAAAAAAAUAGAACAAAUGUGCUCAGUCUGGCUCCAUAAAUGAGAGAUCCAGUUUUAAUUAUCUGAUGACAAAGCCACCAAACUUUUUUAAAAACCUUCUGAAGGUUUAGCAAUAUUGUCCUGGUCAGAAUGUUCUCCCAUAUAUUUCCUGAGCCCUUCCUUCUAUGGUUUAAACGUCUCUCUUCUCUUUCCAGUGCUCAGGUUCACUCAUAGCAGCUGGUGUGUUCCCCAGCAGGGUCGGUUGAUACAACAAUAAGAAAAAUGUAUAUAUGCUAUAAUUCAAAAAGAUGCAUGCACCCCAAUGUUCACUGCAGCACUAUGUACAGUAGCCAAGACAUGGAAGCGACCUAAAUGUCCAUCAA